rnacentral:lncRNA from 1 species
UUUUCUUAAAAUAUAUUCCUGCUACUCUCACUAUGUUUCAAACCAGUUUUGCAUUUUAUUUGCCUUGAACCUGCUAAUUUUGUUUGUUUGUUUUUUCAUGAGUCUCUGAUAGAGACCUCUAAGCCUGUUUCAAUGGCUUGCCUUCUCGUCUUUGUAUCUUACUCGAGUUGUAAACCCUAGAGUUUGGGGUUCUCUUUUGGUGAUUUUGAUCUUGUGUGUGGACUGGGAUUCCAUUGUGGAACCCUAUAUUUUCUCAAACCCAUUUUGAG